CAGUCGCCACGGUAAUACAGAGAAUGCAAGCGUUAUCCGGAAUGAUUGGGCGUAAAGGGCUCGCAGGCGGUUUCUUAAGUCUGAUGUGAAAGCCCCCGGCUCAACCGGGGAGGGUCAUUGGAAACUGGGAAACUUGAGUGCAGAAGAGGAGAGUGGAAUUCCACGUGUAGCGGUGAAAUGCGUAGAGAUGUGGAGGAACACCAGUGGCGAAGGCGACUCUCUGGUCUGUAACUGACGCUGAGGAGCGAAAGCGUGGGGAGCGAACAGGAUUAGAUACCCGCGUAGUCCCUGUCUCUUAUAC
rnacentral:rRNA from 1 species